ensembl:lncRNA
CAGCUGCUCAAGUGAGUGCACUAAAUCUGGACUCUAGUCACAUCACCGUCCUCCAUGAAUUUGGCCUCAACUAGUAUUAUGUUCCACCCUCCGUGGUUUGACAGCCUCUGAGUCAACUUGACAUGUUUCCCAUGUUUCUGAUAUACGUUCCCGAUAUGUAUGUUAGAAAGGGCUUGCUCAUUGGAAAAGAUGCUGGUUCUGGGAAAGAUUGAGGGCAAGAGGAGAAGACGGCAACAGAGAAUGGGAUGGUUAGAUGGCAUCACCAACUCAAUGGACUGAGUUUGAGUAAACUCUGAGAGAUAGUGAAGGGCAGGGGAGCCUGGCAUGCUGCAGUCCAUGGGGUCGCAAAGAGUGGGGCAUGACUGAGUGAGUGAACAACAACAGUCUUGUAGGUGUGUAAGCUGUUCUACCUGGAGUUACCAGGUGUGUUCCUGGCCUGUUGGAGCAUGUGAUCUGACCUGUCCUGUGUCUGGUGGCAGCAGAGCGGUGGUGGUGGGUCUUGACAAUAGACCCACAAGGCCCCCCUCAAGGCAUCUACCCUUGGCAAGGUUAUCACAGGCUUUUCAAACAAAGAAGAAUCUUUUAAGACGUAAUGGACAAACGACUUCUACUGGUGAGGGAGGCUUAGGACAACUGUGGGGUUUAAGAUGCUUGGUUUUCCUGGGUCCAGCAAAGGUUGCCACACCCAGUUUCAUGCUCCCACACAUUCCCAGUAAAUGUCUGACUUUCUCUUGAGACAGUGAUGAGACUGAAUCCAGCUGUUGUUCACAAGCAACAUAGCUUUUCUGUAUGAUUUUUAGAGCUAUCAGCCCUGUGACUGCAAGGAAAAAAGAGAUUAUUUUGAGAAUUGAAGUAUUCUGCUUCUCACUGUUGCUUGUCCUGGGAGUUAAGACAGCAUGACUUGUCAUUUUUUCUCUGUGUGCACUCUCGUGCCCUUGAGGCUCUAUUCCGUACUGUACUCCCUAGAGUCAACAUUACUACCAUUUAGGAAAAGAAGCUUCAGUUGCCACAGGGGCUCUAAGUCCCUUGCUUCUGUCAGUACUUCAGAAGCAACCCAAGGCCAUGGCUUGAUGAACUCUGUUGCCAGCACCCGCAGGCAUCUGUUUCCCACUGACGGUGAGCUCAACACUGCUGGAGCUGAAAAUCACAGCAGAUCAAUCCGAUCUCAUCUCUGCCAGUCUGUUUCCUGUGACUGCUCCUGGUACCAGUUCUGUAUCAGGGUCCAGUCCAGCGGACAGGAACCACAUAAUAAUUUGAGCAAGGAAGGAUCGUUAACUACUUCCAGUGGGGAGAAGGAAGAUUCUAAGAUACCUCAUGGGAGAGCACCCAAGGACGGAACAGACAUAAAAGGGAGGGAGCGCUCCCUGAGGCUGGAUCAAGACUUUGUCGGAAACAGUGUUGUUUUAACUCAACAGAUGGCAGAAGAGUUGGCAGGGUUGAUCUAGACCAGCAGUGGUCCAUGCUUGUUGGUCCAAGACUGAUGGGUCAGAACUCUGAGCUGUCAGAAGGUGGGAACUUCCAUCGCUAGCACCCCCUUCCCCCACACUGGGAUGCCUACGUGAUUCACCUGGAAACUGGCAAGGCGGAGGGAGGUGCUGUCCACUUUGCCUAGGAGCCUUCUGGGGCAUGGCUGGGCUUGCUGGGGAGCUGCUGAGAAGCCCUUCAGGGGGUGCCCUUGAACCCACUAGAAGCUACUUGCAGGGGCGCACUGAGCUCCCCACCAGGAAGCCAUCUCAGGCUCACCGCAGGGGCGAGCUCCUGGGUUCACAGUGCUCCUGUCAAGCACCUGGGGAACCAAGAGGAAGGAAGGCACCCGGAACCAGGCUUUUUGAAUUGGGUCCACUGAGGCAAUUAGCAGAAAAAGGAAAACGAAUGACAGGAGAAUUGGAAAGGUGAAAACAGAACUCGUUGUUUGACAAUAGGUGUAGCAAAUCCGAAAGUAUUUACAGUUACGUUUUUAGAUUAAUAAGAAAGCUUAUAAGGUUGUUGAAUAUACAUAAUCAACUCUAAAACCAAUUGCAUCCUGUGCACCAUAACCAGAAAAUUAGAAAUUAAGGCUUAAAAAGUUCAACUUACAAUGGCAUAGAAAUCAAGUACCUAGGAAUACGUGUGACAAAAGACAUGUAAGAAAACUUUGGGAAAUAUCAGAGAAGACACAGAGCAUAAAGUAUGUCAAAUUUCUCCACAUUGGCCUAUGUAGAUUUACACAAUCCCAAUUAAAAUCCUUAGUGGUUUCUUUUUGAAUUGGAAAGACAGUUCUGAUCAUCACAUGGCAGCGUAAAAGGAGGAAGCUAGUCAACUGAUUCUGGAAGGAAAAGGACUUGCUGAGAGGUCAUGCUCUCCCGGAUAUGAAGACUUCGCAUCAAGCUGAAGAGAGAGUGGAGUUAUGUAGGCGAGGAGACAAGAGGACCACUGGGCCAGAUCAGAGAGCUCAGGGAUGAUCAACAUACACAUGUUUGUGCUUGAUUAACGGUGAAACGGAUGCUGCAGAAUAGUGGGAGAGAUGGGCUAGUGAAUGAUACUGUUGGAACAGUGGGGAUCCGUAUUCACACACACGCACAUGCACAAAUGGAUCUCCAUGUUUCACCAUACUAAAAAGUCAACUCCAGAUGCAUUAUUGAUAGACAAGAGAAGGGCCAAAACAUGCGAAUAAAAAGGAAAAUGUUCAUGAUCUCAGGGUCUUAAAAAAGGUGCAAAUUAUAAACCACAGAGCAAAAGACUGACAAUCUGCAUUAAAAUGAAUUUCUGUUCUUCAAAAGAUGUUAUAGAUUGAAAGACAAAGCAGUAAGUGGGAGAAGAUACUUGGGAUGAGACAAAGGUCUUACAUCUAGAAUAAGUAAAGAAUUUAUACAAACCAAUAAGAAGGAAAGACUGAUAACCAAACAGAAAGGAGCUGAACAGGAACUUGAUGCGAGAGGAAAGGCACAGGGCCAGUAGACACCUGAAGACUGUUCCCCUUCAGUGGCGCUCAGGGGAAGGCGCACAGGGAAACCACGGUGGGAGCCCACGCCUGACCGGCUGGCAGAGAGCGCGAGUCCUCACUGGUGGCGGGAACGUAAACGGCACCAGCGCUUGGCCAAACAGCGCGGCAGCUUCUCACAAGGGCCCCCUCGCUGCCCUCCCUGUGUGUCGUGUGUCUGCAUUCUGCACGGACCAAACCUCCCUGUGGGCAGGAACUCCCGCUCAAGCAAAAAGAGCAGCCUUCUCCCAGAUCAACAAGACGACUCCUUAAAAGGUAGCAUUCCCUCCUGAUCUGAAGGGGUCACACGACCACUGGGGUGACACCUAGAUCUGGACCAUGUGAGCUGUCAGUAGUCAGUCAUUCGAUGUAUAGCCCGCUGUCUCAAGCUGAGUCUUGAUUUCUAAUCCACC